UUAAAAAAUACACGUAUAUACAACUCAGCACUUGCAAGCACAUCUACAGUGCACUAUAUUCCUAGGAAGAGGCGGGAUCCUGGAAUAAUGAAAAGGCAUUCAUUUGGGUAGAAGCCAACUGGAAGUUGAGUGAUCUAAGGUCCUAGGGAAGAACAGAAGCACAAGAAAGUACUUGAGGACAAAAGCCACCCAACUAGGAGCCCCUAACUGGGUCGUCACUUGAGUAAGACACGAAUGUCUACACGUUAAGCCCUGAAAUUUAGAGGUUUACUUGUUCAGCAACUAGCGUGGCCCCAGUGAACCAGUUCUAUCCCUACUGGUACAUGAUUUUAACAACGCUUCCUAAGUUCUCUGAGCCUCAGUGUCCACAUCUGUAAGAUGAAACUAAUAAUGCUCCUUUCCAGGUAUGUGGUGGUAAUUAAAUUGAGCAGGGAAUCGGGAUGUGAACCUGGAACAUUGUAAGUCUUCAAUAAAGGUUUGUUGGCUUCACUUGGUUUUUUCCAAGGAAUAGAGACUAAGAAUGGCCAGCGGCCGCAAGGAGGUAAAUAAAACUUAGAAGAGUAUCACUAAGCAUAGGAAAAAGUUGCCUGGAAACAGAUAUAGGGGGAAAUAAAAAAUUGUAAAUACGAUUUUCUCCCAUGUAACAGGAGGUAUGUGUUUCCAUCUGGAAGUUCUUUCCCCUUGCGCAGUUCUUAGUGUUGGGACAACUUGGAACUGAAACUGGACGUGAGGCAGGAAAACAACUGCUUAAGACCUGUUCCUCCUCUGCCUUUGGUUCACGUGUUGUUCUUCCCCAUUAAACUGAGUGCAUCCUGGGAGGGCAGACAGGAACUUUCUAGAAGAGAGGCAUGUAAGCAGAAGUGACGCACGUCACUUCUAGGCCUGGUUCCGGAAACCUUGCACGUGUCCCACCCCCCCCCAACAUUCUUUCCCCUUCCUGCUCGCAGAAGUGCCAAGGAUUAGGAUGACUCUGAAAGCCACGCAUUGAGACCUGCAGAGCCACUGUCAGCCAGCGUCCCUGAGUGACCACACAGAGCGGAGCCACCCACCAGCCUGAACUGUCACAAACCACUGAUGUAAUUAAAAUUCUGGAACGCGAGGUCUCUUUGUUACAGCAGCUAGUGUCAGCUUAACCAACCCAGACUUGCACAUCUUAGUAUCCCCAGUGCCUCCAACGGAGCACAGCUCUGUUAUCGACUCAAUGAUCAAAAUGCAACACGUGUACCUGGGAAGCAGAGCUCCCCAGAAUGGCUCCCAGUUCUAGGAAAAACAAAAUAAAAUCUUACUCCUUAAUAUGAGGGGAAAAGGUCAGAAAGAAAUGGAAACACUGGAGUCAGCAAGUAUCUGGCCAAGCCAUCUGGAGGAUACAUACAAUCCAGACAAUAUCAGCAUAUGAGGUCGUCAUCUGCUAUUUCUUCCACCAGCAUUAUCUCCCUUCAUUUAAGGACAGGAGUGUCUUCUGAAUGCUGGGACGUCACUCGCCUGGAUGCUUGCCUUAACAAGAUGACAGCCACAGGACCUUCUGGUUGAUGACAGCUGAUGGCGCUCCUGGUUCCAGAGAACAGAUCUGGCUGUCUAGAGUCGAAGAGAAGUUGUUGCACGUUCUUGGCGCCUGAAAGAUCACGGACUCCUUUGAGAAUGUGAGGAAAGAUGUAGACGCACUUCCCGUUAAAGCAUGCUGUGGAAAAUCACUGAAGGAAGAGGGGCUGAAAUGAUGGGCCAGCCCUCGCUAAGAAAACACCCAACCCAACACGCACACAACGAGCAAGACGCAUCUCAUCUCUAUGAUUCGUAUUUGUUUUUCUGUCUCAGGUCAUUUAUCUGAACACGGAGACCUUUUCGUUUCCAGCCAGAGUAUGAAAGAAGGUUUGGCUUCAUAAUCUUAAGAGCUUGAAAUUUUGGCACACCUGUAUUAGCUACCAUAUUCUCGGGUUGAAUCUUCUCCACAGCAAUAAAUCUCAGAAAAAAAAUAAAAGUAAGAUGAUGCAGUAUA